CCAAACCAUCUUUUUAAAAAUCAUUUUCAUAGGGUUCUCUAGUCCAUGAGUGAGUUUCCUGUAGCAACAAUACUUACUGCUUAGGAGGAAGCUCAUCCAAAUUGUGGGCAGAAAUAGUUACUUGAAAAUUUCUCAUGAGGUCAGUCUGUGGCCUGCCUUUUUGUGAGUUGCACUUAGCUGUUCCGUUUGAGUUAUUUGCAUCUACCUCUGACAAGUUUAAUUUUAUUAUGUGUCUAUAUUUAAGUGUCUUCCCUAACACCUUAAUUAUUAACAACAUUACUAGCUCUACAAGUACUAAUAACUGAGAUUUAUUGGGUUAUUAACAUAUGCUAGAUACUGUUCAAUGGAAAUACGUGCAUUGUCUAAGUACACACAAUAAUCUGAUAAAUUAGGUAAAACUGAAUUCUUUCUAUGGGAUCUAAUAUGUGUUUAUUUAUUUUCCCACUGUACAGCAUGGGGACCAAGUUACACAUACAUGUAUACAUUCUUUUCCCUCCCAUUGUUCUGUUGGGAUGUUAAGUGUCUAGACAUAGUUCUCAAUGCUACACAGCAGGAUUUCAUUGUAAAUCCAUUCCAAGAGCAAUAGUUUGCAUCCGAUAACCCCAAGCUUCCAAUCCCUCCCACUCCUUCCCUCUCCCCCGGGCAGCCACAAGCCUAUUCUCCAAGUCUUUGAGUUUCUUUUCUGUGGAAAUGUUCAUUUGUGCUGUAUAUUAGAUUCCAGAUAUAAGUGAUAUCCUAUGGUAUUUGUCUUUCUCUUUCUGAAUUACUUCACUCAGUAUGAGAGUUUCUAGUUCCAUCUAUGUUGCUGCAAAUGGCAUUAGUUUGUUCUUUUUUAUGGCUGAGUAGUAUUCCAUUGUGUAUAUUUACCACAUCUUCCUAAUCCGAUCAUCCAUUGGACAUUUGGGUUGUUUCCAUGUCUUGGCUAUUGUGCAAUGAACAUGAGGGUGUAUGUGUCUUUUUUAAGGAAAGUUUUGUCUGGAUAUAUGCCCAAGAAUGGGAUUGAUGCGUCAUACGUAGUUCUGUGUAUAGAUUUCUAAGGUACCUCCAUACUGUUCUCCAUAGUGGUUGUACCAGCUUACAUUCCCACCAACAGUGCAGGAGGGUUCCCUUUUCAAUGGGAUCUAAUAAAAUCAACUUAAGUGAAAGCUGAGCAUCAGUUAAAAGAUACAUAACUUAGUCAUUUUUGAACUUAAAUACUCAUUCUACUUACAUAGCUUUUUGAGUAGGGUCAGAAAGUAUUUUUUUUCCAUGUGUUUCCAUUGAUGGGGACCCAUGAAGUCUUUUCUAUCAUAAGACAUUGUUACUGCGAAUGAUCUAUAAUUUUUGGUUCAGGAGAAAAAGUACUUCAAGGGGACCUAGAAAGGAAUUUGUGUUCAAACCUUUUUCACAGAUCUCUUACAACUAAUUCACCAGAAUUUUUCUCCUGUGUAGUUCAAAGAUACAUUUUUUUUUUCUAACACACUCAGCAUGGAAGGAAAAAAGCCUUUUCUGUCAAUAGUUAACGUUUCAAUCACUUAUGUAUUACUUAAUUAAAUUUCUUAAUUAUAAUAGCAGGUACAGUUGUCGUAAAUGUUUAGGAAAAUUUUUUUUUUCCCUCCACCUGCAUCUUGUGGGGAACUAAACUGGUGUUAAAAGAAGUGUGGAUCAUACGAUGUCUUGAUUCCACAAUCACCUUGUCAGCCACAAUUACACAAGGCACAUGGACAUUCAACUGCGCAGUUUAGGGAAGGACGGAGAACUCUUUAAGUUCAUCCAGUCAGUGUAGAUAACUUACAUUAUCCCAAGAUCCCAAGCUAGCUAAUUGGGAGCCCAAGAUGCCAACCAAAGCUGUCAGAAUUCAGAGACCAGCUUUUAGUCAUCACACUACACUAUGGACUAGCAGUUGUCUUCUUUCUUCACUUCUCACAAAAUUUCCACAAUAAUGAUACUUUGCAUACCUUUCACAACCCAGUCUUCCUUCUGCAGUUGAUUUGAAAUCCUGUUAUAGAUAAUUACUUGGUUGUCUCUCUUUCUUUCUUUGUGUUAAAAUUUAUCUUUCCCCCAUUGCCAGCUUCUCAAGAGCAAUGGCCUUCAGUAGUCUUAAUAACAUUACAGAGAUGGUACAUGGCUGCUAGUACUGCAGAAGUAUCUUCCACUAGUUCUCACUUGAAUUGUAACAUUGAUCUGUGAUAAUAAAUAUUCUAAAGUGACCAACCUAAAGCUCUUCAGAAACAGACUUCAUCCAGAACACUCAACUCCUUCUCUUGCUUGCAGUUUGCUACUUGGCAUAUGUCCUCCAUGCACUAGUACAAACUUUACUCUAUAGCAUUUUUCCUUAAGUUAUUUACCUAUUGUGAAAGUUUACUUGUGUAGUAUGUGCAAAUGAAUGAAACUCUUUUUGAGGUUAAUCAUAACUUAUUUUCUCUGAGCUACUCUUGAAAAAAAUCUGUGAUAAAGAAGAUACAUACGUAUUAGAGUUUCUGGAAAAUUAACAGCGUAAGUAACACAUACACACCGUAUCUGGAAUAUGAUAAAUGAAAAAUACAUGCUAGAAUUUUUAGCAUUAUCAUCAAGUAUUAUAUAUUGUUGACUGACAAUCAUAUAGAUUUUUUUUCCCUUAAAAUCACUCUGAUUUUUGCUGUCUCAAAACAAAAAUCAGAACCAAAACAAGUUUUUGUUUACUCAGUGGUUCUUUCUUAAAAUCAGCAUGUGUUCCGAUACUAGCUACUAUAUUAUGUAUUAUAUUAUCCCCACUUAUGCCUCUUCAGUAAGUGCAACAUACAAAUAAAAAUUGAUGGGGAAACACUCAUAAGUAUUGAGGCAUCAUCUAUGUCUGGCCAGCCAGCCCAUUUCAAAGUAUUCGAUACUUUUUGUUCUCCUUUGUAUUAACACAUUCCUAUUAAUUUUUCUUAAAAUAAUUGUGAUUUAUAUUGAGGUGUUUCUGUAUACCUUCUUGGCAAUCUAAAGAAUGUCAGUUUUCACAUAAUGGAACCAAUUCAUAGGCUUACUUAGAAAAUAAGCAAAGUAAAUCUUGUAGUCUAAUAAUUUAUAUGAGAAAGAAGCUGUCCAGAACAUACAUCAGAUUAUAAAUGGAAGCUGGGGAUAUAGGAGAUGGAGACAAUAGUUAAGAGCUUCUAAAUGUAUCACUGAUUAGGAAGACAUUAAAACAUUUAGAUAAUGGAACAGGCAAAUCAACAACAAUAGCAAUCAACAAAAGGAAGCUCUUAGUGGUAUAUCUUUAAUACAAUUCAAGGUGGUUACACUUCCUUGAGCACUCCAACUAAAUUUUGAUGGCUUAAUAUAUUGUUAAAAAAAGAAAGAAAUAGAUGGAGAAGAUUCUGGGAAGAUGGUGGAAUAGGAAGCUCCAGGAAUGUGUCUCUUCACCCAGACGAAGGUGGCAUUGGCACAAGCUGUCUGAGAUAGCACUUUUUUGGAAUUCUGGAGUGUGCACGGCCUGUAACUUCCAGGGAAGGCUUGAAUGAUAAAUUGUAGUUAAUUUUGGUCACUUUUAGCACUUAGUCCAGUUAGCAGCUACCCAUCUCUUUUCCUCAGCCUUGUGGCAGGCAUCUGUGCACAUGUUCCUUGAGCAGCUUACGCAUACUUAGUUGGAGUGGGAGUGGGAAAAGUAUUUUCCAAUACUUCUGGAUUUGUUCUCUGAUCACUCAUUAUUGAUUCUGGUCAUAGAGCUUCAGACAAAGAAACAGGCAGCUAUUGCUGUAAGCCCCCUUCUUCCAGCUGAAGCAACUUCAGGGGACUUAAAGAGCCAGCAUUCUCCACACUCUUAAUUUUUCUCUAUUCCCCUUUUGGGAUCCAGACAUCAAAGACUAGGGACUUAAAAACAACUGAAUAUUAGGAAAGUGAUCACAUUUGCCCAGGGCAAGGCAUAGGCUUGGAAAAGAUCUGAGGAAGUGAUAUCAUGUAUUUGCUUUUCUCUCUUGGGGCUUCACUUAAUAUGAUAUAUUCUUUAGGUCUAUCCAUGUUGCUGAAAAUGGCAUUUUGUUCCUUUUAUGAUUAAGUAAUAUUCAUAUAUAUAAGUACAUAUAUAUGGAAAUAGAUAUAUACACAUCCUCUUUAUACAUUCAUCUGUCAUUGGACGCAUAGGUUGCUUCCAUGCCUUGGCUAUUGUAAAUAGUGCUGCAAUGAACAUUGGGGUGCAUGUAUCUUUUUGAAUUACGGUUUUCUCUCAAUACAUGCCCAGGGUGAAGUUGUUGGAUUAGUUCUAUUUUUAGUUUUUUAAAAGAACCUCCACACUCUUCUCCAUAGUGGUUGUACCAAUUUACAUUCCCACCAACAGUGUGAGAGGGUUCCCUUUUUUUCUGUAUCCAUUCCAGCAUUUAUUGUUGGUAGACUUUUUUGAUGGUGACUAUUCUGACUGGUGUGAGAUGAUACUUCAUUGUGGUUUUGAGUUUCAUUUCUGUAAUAAUUAUGAUAUUAAGCAUAUUUUCAUGUGGUUUUGGCAAUCUGUAUGUCUUCUUUGGAGAAAUGUUUGUUUAGAACUUCUGCUCACUUUUUUUUUUUUUUUUUGGUCUUUUCAGGGCCACAGCUGUGUGGCAUAUGGAGGUUCCCAGGUUAGGGGUGGAAAUCGGAGCUGUAAUUGCCAGCCUAUGCCACAGCCAAGCAUUGUGGGAUCUGGGCCAUGUCUGUGACCUACACUAUGGCUCAUGGUGAUACCAGAUCCUUAAUCCACUGAGCAAAAUCAGGAAUUGAGCCUGCGUGCUCGUGGAUAGUACAUCAAAUUCAUUUCCACUGUGCCACAACAGGAACUCCUAGAUCUUCUGUCCAUUUUUUAAUUGGGUUAUUAUUAUUAUUUUUUAAAUUGAGCUGCUUAAAUAUUUUGGAUAUGUGAAGAGUCAAAAACAUGGAUACAAAUAAAGAUAUUUACAAAAUAAAAUCUUGGAACAGGCAUAGAAAACAAACUUAGGGCUACCAA
rnacentral:lncRNA from 1 species